rnacentral:rRNA from 1 species
CGGACGGCAUGCUAGGCAUGCAGUCGACGUGAAGUCCUUCGGGAUGAGUAAAGUGGCGAACGGGUGAGUAACGCGUGGGAAACCUUCCCUUCGAUGGGGGAUAACAGUUCUAACGAGCUGCUAAUACCGCAUACGACCUCUGGACCGCAUGGCCUGGAGGUGAAAGGGGGCGAUCUCUUCGGAGAGCUCCCGUCGAUGGAUGGUCCCGCGUCCCAUUAGCUAGUUGGCGGGGUAACGGCCCACCAAGGCGACGAUGGGUAGCCGGCCUGAGAGGGUGUCCGGCCACACUGGGACUGAGAUACGGCCCAGACUCCUACGGGAGGCAGCAGUCGAGAAGCUUCGGCAAUGGGCGAAAGCCUGACCGAGCGACGCCGCGUGAGCGAAGAAGGCCCUAUGGGUUGUAAAGCUCUGUCAGAUUGGGAAGAAAACCUCGCGGUUAAUACCCGCGAGGCCUGACGGUACCAUCAGAGGAAGCACCGGCUAACCCCGUGCCAGCAGCCGCGGUAAUACGGGGGGUGCAAGCGUUGUUCGGAUUCACUGGGUAUAAAGGGUGCGCAGGCGGCCUGGUAAGUCAGAGGUGGAAUUUGUCGGCUCAACCGACAGACUGCCCCUGAAACUGACAGGCUUGAGUCCGGGAGAGGAAGGUGGAAUUCCAGGUGUAGCGGUGAAAUGCGUAAAUAUCUGGAGGAACACCGGUGGCGAAGGCGGCCUUCUGGCCCGGAACUGACGCUCAGGCACGAAAGCUAGGGGAGCGAACGGGAUUAGAUACCCCGGUAGUCCUAGCCGUAAACGAUGGGUACUAGUGUUGGAGGAUUCUACCCCUUCAGUGCCGCAGCUAAUGCAUUAAGUACCCCACCUGGGGAGUACGAUCGCAAGGUUGAAACUCAAAGGAAUUGACGG